rnacentral:rRNA from 1 species
CCUACGGGUGGCUGCAGUGGGGAAUAUUGGACAAUGGGGGCAACCCUGAUCCAGCCAUGCCGCGUGUGUGAAGAAGGCCCUCGGGUUGUAAAGCACUUUCAGUGAGGAAGAACGCCUGGUGGUUAAUACCCAUCAGGAAAGACAUCACUCACAGAAGAAGCACCGGCUAACUCCGUGCCAGCAGCCGCGGGAAUACGGAGGGUGCGAGCGUUAAUCGGAAUUACUGGGCGUAAAGCGCGCGUAGGUGGCUUGAUAAGCCGGUUGUGAAAGCCCCGGGCUCAACCUGGGAACGGCAUCCGGAACUGUCAAGCUAGAGUGCAGGAGAGGAAGGUAGAAUUCCCGGUGUAGCGGUGAAAUGCGUAGAGAUCGGGAGGAAUACCAGUGGCGAAGGCGGCCUUCUGGACUGACACUGACACUGAGGUGCGAAAGCGUGGGUAGCAAACAGGAUUAGAUACCCCGGUAGUC